CGAUUGGCCACGAGAGGUGUGGUGCACGUGCGCAUUUUCCUCCGUCCACAUCGUCAGCAUCUCCCACCCUGCUCCAUUUUCCCCCCUGUUGUUCGUCGCUCCUCACUAAUCCAAUUUUAAGUGGUUCUCACGGAAUGCAACAAGACCCAGAGACUGAAACUCCCAGGGGAAGCAUGAAGCAGACGGUGCCAAUGAAAAACUUCCCCUUAACAGGAAGAAACCUCGAGCAGAACCCAGCUCACCUGGAGGAACCCUUCUGCUUGAAUUGUACAGAUUUACAGUGGAAUAUUUGGGAGCUAAUGAGGCUGUGUCAGACUACGUCAACAACAACAGGCCACAACACAUCUCAACAUCCUGGACUCGGAGAGAGUCUUCUUGGCACUUGGAGAAAGAACGAGACACUUUCCAUCUGGUGUUUCUACACAAAGAGGCCAGUUCAGCAAAAGUUCACCACUGUUUAGGUUCAUGGGCCUGGCAGUUCAUUCUCAGGUCAGUGAGGCUUUAUAUCCAUCCUGGGCCUGUUUUUUUCUCUUCUUCCCCAUAAUAAAAUCAGGUCACACAAAGGUAGUUAGACAAGAUUUAUCAUCUAAUGUCAACAUGGGGCCUACACAUGAACCGUUAUUAAGCUUUAUUAUGUAAUAUGUACCUACACUGUUUGUUUUAAAUGUAAUAAAAAGAUGUGUUUGCCAGAAGCACCUUGGGGAGUUGCCACGGAAUAAUGGUUAUCAGCAGCUACAUCCAUUUGGAAACCGUGCAGGAAGAAGGUACUGGAAGGAUGAGAUCAGCGUUCGUUGGCCACGAGAGGAAAGAAAUUAAUCCUCGUUGAUAUCAUUAAUAGCACUUUCACGGCGCAGCCUGCGCAUAAUUCACGUCGUGUCGACUGAUCUGACCCAAGAGAAGAGUUUAUUUCUGCUGCAACAAGUACAGUACUUUUUUGCCAACUACUUUUGUUCAUUUGUUCA